GACGAACGCUGGCGGCGUGCUUAACACAUGCAAGUCGAACGGAAAGGCCCUGCUUUUGUGGGGUGCUCGAGUGGCGAACGGGUGAGUAACACGUGAGUAACCUGCCCUUGACUUUGGGAUAACUUCAGGAAACUGGGGCUAAUACCGGAUAGGAGCUCCUGCUGCAUGGUGGGGGUUGGAAAGUUUCGGCGGUUGGGGAUGGACUCGCGGCUUAUCAGCUUGUUGGUGGGGUAGUGGCUUACCAAGGCUUUGACGGGUAGCCGGCCUGAGAGGGUGACCGGCCACAUUGGGAAUGAGAUACGGCCCCGACUCCUACGGGAGGCAGCAGUGGGGAAUAUUGCACAAUGGGCGGAAGCCUGAUGCAGCAAAGCCGCGUGCGGGAUGACGGCCUUCGGGUUGUAAACCGCUUUCGCCUGUGACGAAGCGUGAGUGACGGUAAUGGGUAAAGAAGCACCGGCUAACUACGUG
rnacentral:rRNA from 1 species